AGGGCACCACCAGGAGUGGAGCCUGCGGCUUAAUUUGACUCAACACGGGAAAACUCACCCGGCCCGGACACUGGAAGGAUUGACAGAUUGAGAGCUCUUUCUUGAUUCAGUGGGUGGUGGUGCAUGGCCGUUCUUAGUUGGUGGAGUGAUUUGUCUGGUUAAUUCCGAUAACGAACGAGACUCUAGCCUACUAAAUAGAUAGUCGGCUUACAAACGUCGACUAGACUUCAUAGAGGGACAGGCGGUGAUUCAACCGCACGAAACAGAGCAAUAACAGGUCUGUGAUGCCCUUAGAUGUCCGGGGCCGCACGCGCGCUACACUGAAGUGAUCAGCGUGCUUUUUCAGCCUACUCUGUCAAGAGUGGGAAACCCAAUGAACCUUCUUCGUGAUUGGGAUAGGGGAUUGUAAUUAUUCCCCUUGAACGAGGAAUUCCCAGUAAGCGCGAGUCAUAAGCUCGCGUUGAUUACGUCCCUGCCCUUUGUACACACCGCCCGUCGCUACUACCGAUUGAAUGUUUU
rnacentral:rRNA from 1 species